CUGCAGCCUCUGUCUUCCCGGUUCAAGCGAUUUUCCUGCCUCAGCCGCCUGAGUAGCUGGCUCAUUGCUUUUCUUCUGACUUGCCCUAACUUUCAGCAGGUGCCCAUCAGACUGAAACGUACUGACCAGAUGAGGGAGGAGAUGGCCUUUGCCUCAUAAAUGUCAUAAAAGGAUGGAAAAUUGAAAGCAAUGAACAGAGAACCCUGGAAAAAAUCAUGAUUUUUUUCCUCCUGAAAAGACUCUUCACUGUCAAAAAGACAUUUAUCAUCUUUUAAAAUAUGGCCAGGCACGGUGGCUC